GUUCUAGGUGCUGAAACUAAGAAGUAAAGAAUGGAAAGAAGACCAUGGCCUGCAAGAGCACAGUCCUGGGGUUGAGAAAUGGGCAAUUUCCACGGAUGAAAACUUCUGUAAAGCAAACAAUGAGAAAGUCAGGCAAGAGGGCUAAAGGGAAAAUGGGGAGGCUGUCUCUGAAGGCUGAAUCUAAAGAGUAAGUGUGGACCCAGCAUGGGAAGAGCGGGGCAUGUGCUCCAGGCAGUGGAGAUGCAUGUGAUCAGCCACCAGGACUGCGGGCUUCAGCACUGGUCAGGGAUGGCACAUUCUGCUCCACUUGAAAGGAAUCUGGGACCAUCCAGAAAGAUCCAGAAAAGCAUCUCUCCUCUGGUUUAUGAAAAAACACACAACUUCUGACUGAAUGUUCACAGCCCAUCAGCUACAUGCAUAUGACUCUCAGACUACAUUCUUAUUCAUGUGCACAAUUCUCAUAAAUGCCUUUGAAGGCUGAGGAGGAAAGAAUGACCAUCUCCCAGACAGGGUCCCUCUGGAUUUAACAACCAGCUAGCCCAGCUUUCUCCACACCGACUUACUGAUUUGUAUAUCUGAAGAUAAUUUCUUAAAUACAACCUCUUCAAUCCCUCAGUAUGAUUCAGAGAAUUAAACUCAAAAGCCAACGGAGCCUUUAGAAAUCCCAGUCAGGAGACAAAUAGUAGCUGACUUUGUGACUAUAGCACAGAGAUAUACAUGCCAAAUAAUACUGUAUAUUUAAA